UACGUAGGGUGCGAGCGUUGUCCGGAAUUAUUGGGCGUAAAGAGCUCGUAGGCGGUGUGUCGCGUCGGCCGUGAAAACCUGCAGCUUAACUGUGGGCGUGCGGUCGAUACGGGCAUCACUGGAGUUCGGCAGGGGAGACUGGAAUUCCUGGUGUAGCGGUGAAAUGCGCAGAUAUCAGGAGGAACACCCGUGGCGAAGGCGGUUCUCUGGGACGGUACUGACGCUGAGACGCGAAAGCGUGGGGAGCGAACAGG
rnacentral:rRNA from 1 species